rnacentral:rRNA from 1 species
UGGGGAAUAUUGCACAAUGGGCGCAAGCCUGAUGCAGCGAUGCCGCGUGAGGGAAGAAGGUUUUCGGAUUGUAAACCUCUGUCAUCAGGGACGAAAAAGGACGGUACCUGAGAAGGAAGCUCCGGCUAACUACGUGCCAGCAGCCGCGGUAAUACGUAGGGAGCAAGCGUUAUCCGGAAUUACUGGGUGUAAAGGGAGUGUAGGCGGGACUGUAAGUCAGAUGUGAAAUAUGCCGGCUCAACUGGCAGACUGCAUUUGAAACUGUGGUUCUUGAGUGAAGUAGAGGUAAGCGGAAUUCCUGGUGUAGCGGUGAAAUGCGUAGAUAUUAGGAGGAACACCAGUGGCGAAGGCGGAUUGCUGGACGACAACUGACGGUGAGGCGCGAAAGCGUGGGGAGCAAACAGGAUUAGAUACCCUGGUAGU